GUGCACCAGUCGCGAAUCUUCCACAAUGGACGAAAGUCUGAUGGAGCGACGCCGCGUGCGGGAUGAAGGCCUUAUGGGUUGUAAACCGCUGUCAGGGGGGAAGAACAUCGGAAUGAACAAUACUCAUUCCGACUGACGUUACCCCCAGAGGAAGCUCCGGCCAACUCCGUGCCAGCAGCCGCGGUAAUACGGGGGGGAGCAAGCGUUGCCCGGAAUUAUUGGGCGUAAAGGGCGUGUAGGCGGCGAGGUAAGUCGAAUGUAGAAAUCUCACGGCUCAACCGUGAAACUGCGUUCGAAACUACCCUGCUU
rnacentral:rRNA from 1 species